rnacentral:misc_RNA from 1 species
GUGAAUCAUCGAAUUUUUGAACGCAAAUUGCGCCCCCUGGCAUUCCGGAGCGUAUGCCUGUUUGAGGGUCAGUUUAAAUAUAAAUCGAGGUGUCGGCGUUUUGUGUCUCAUCGGAAUUGGGUUCUCUUUGACAUUUUAAAAAGAUUAAGUCACGUAAAAUUGAUAAAUUGUGAAUCUCAGAAGUACAUAAGAAUAUUUUACAUC